rnacentral:misc_RNA from 1 species
UUUCCGUAGGUGAACCUGCGGAAGGAUCAUUAGCAGAAAUGCGCGCGCAACCCGCAAGGGCUCGCCGCCACUCUCUAAUCUCUCACCCUGUGCACCGUGUCCCCUUUUUUUCGCGCCUCGCGAAAGUCUCAAGUCACGAAGUCACUACGUAAAAACGAGCAUAAAAUGAAGCAACGGAUCUCUUGGCUCUCGCAUCGAUGAAGAACGCAGC